rnacentral:lncRNA from 1 species
UUCAAGUUAAAGUCAAUGUCAGGCAUGGAGAUUUUGGGGGCCUUGAUGUUCAUCUCUGGCAUCUUGAAUUUAGGGCCCUUUAGUUUCGCAUCUGGACCUUCGAUAUUCACAUCAGGAACAUCAAUGUCCACCUUGGGUCCUGAGACGUCAAGGUCAGCCUUGGGCAGGUUCACAUCCACAUCUGGGCCCUCUCCUUUGAAGCCAGGCAUGCUGAACUUGGGCAUUUUCACCUUGGGCAUCUUCAGGUGCCAGUCUGGGCCUUGAACACCCACAUCUGGGGCAUUAAUAUCCACUUUGGGCCCCUUGAUGUCAACUUCGGGGCCCUUGAGGUCACCUUCCACU